rnacentral:lncRNA from 1 species
UCAGACCUCCCAGUUUUAAAUCCUGCCCCAAGGGCUGGGGACGGCUAGGUGAGCGGCACAAUAUUCACCUAGCUUGCUCAAGGCUUUGGGUUCCACCCCCAACACCGCCAAGAAGGAAAAAGAUCAACCCUGCCCCAUAUCCCCCGUCACUGUGAGUGGCCAAGUUAAUCUUUUUGUUUUUUGCCUUCAUUUCCUUAUCUGCAAAAGGAGGAUGAUACUACUGGCCUCUCCUGAGUUGUGGUGAAGAUUAUGAUGACUAAUAAUUGGGGUUUAGGAGAGUAGUUAACGUGGGUAAGCACUUAUAUAUAAAGUAUCUGUUAAGUGAAUAAAAAGACUGUCAAAUGCUCCCUUAUCUGGAGCAAUGAAUUCCUCUGAAACUGUUUUUCUAGAGGCCCAGUUGCCAUGGAGAUGGUGUGUGUGUGUGUGUGUGUGUGUGUGUGUGUGUGUGUGUGUGUGUGUGUGCAUGUGGAUGUGUGUGUCUCACCGAGGUGUUUUCCCACCACUGGACUCUGGUUUUCUCUACCACACACCAAGCAAUUAGGUCCAUGAGGUGGUGGUGAAGGGGAGAUGCCUUUUGGGGUGGUCUACUCUGGGGAGCCCCAAAUGCCCCCUGCUAUGCUGGGCAGGUGGUCCAGGUGGGAGCCUCACUACAAAGGCAGAACCCAAGGCCAGCCCAGGGGUCCUCAAGCCAAGUGUCUUGUUUGUGAGGUCAGAGCCAGGACUCAGGGAGACCAAGGCCCAGCCCUCUCCGGAGCCAGGAUCCUUUCCCACCCUCCCAUGGGAAAGAAGAAACAAAAGGUCAUUCACCUUCCACCCAGGUCCUUUCCCAGUGCCCGGAAGUCAGAGGGCAUGUUGACACCACCCCCAUAAAGAUGAGGGGAGGCACUGCAACAAGGAGGGGAACUCUCCCCAGCACGGGGCCCGAAGAUGGUGAUCUGGCUGAUGCCUGCCACCCACCCCCACCCCCAAAUCUGCCUCCAGCUCUGGCCACAGUGGCCUUUGUUCAGUUCCUCUGAGCUCAUUCCCACCUCCAAGCCUUGCACUAGCUGUGUCCUCCACCUGGUUCUCUCUUUUCCCCAACAUCUCCCUCCGGGGCCAGCCCCAUCUCGCCUGUACACACCUGCCACUUCCCUUUAGGCGCCCUGUCUUACUCUCCUGCAGCCCCAGCCCCGUCGGACGGUCCAUUUGCUCUUCAUCUGCCUCCGUUAGUGUCUGUUCAUCCAUCUCCUCGGCCCCCUAACAGCAGGGACCUGUCCAUUUUACACAAGGGGUACCCUAGCACCCUGGCUGGCACCUCUGUGGAAAUUAAGAAAUAGACAAUAAAGAUUUUAUCUUUCUAACACACCUGUAGGUCUUGCUGCCUGAGCCCCACACGGCGACUCCUUGCCCCUCCCACCUUC